UUCUGUAAAAGUUCUACCUGUGAGUUUUGGUGCAUUCUUCUUUUCCUAAAAUUUGUUAUGAUUUUAAUAGCAUAUCAGAUGCUUUCAACCAUUCUUAUCUUUUUAGCUUUGUUCCUAUAUGUUUCCCUCUGCAAAUAUAAGCUUUUCAGGUUUUCCUCUGUUUAUAUGUGAAUGCUUUUCAUAUAGUAGGUUUCUGGGCAUUCUGUACGUUGAAAAGGGUUUAUACCUGAUCAUUGUUCAUUUCAUUUGUCGGUCACUUGGUUUUAUAGAAUUUUAUACUAAUGAAUACAUAGAAAAGCUGGUGAAUAUGAAUUUAUCUACUCAUGUAUAAAGUUACACUUAUACAGUGUUCUUUUUUUUUUAUUAUUAUUCUUGUGUUUCGACUCCCUUUAUUUUGGUGCACUUUCAUGAUGUUGUUAUCUGUUGGCUCUCACAUCUAUGUUAUGUAGUUCAACUAUGAUCUCAGCGCUUAUGGAUUUAGAGAAUUCUUCAAGCGCCAUGGGAUACAGACGUGAGAUCCAAAGUAAAGACGUGAGCACAAAUAUAAAUGCUUACCCUUUUCUUUCUCUGGCUUAAGAACUUUGGGUUGAUUAUCGUGUUUGUAAAAUGAAUGAUGAUUAUGCUUUAGCGAGUC
rnacentral:lncRNA from 1 species